CGGAAUGGAUAAGCGCUGAAAGCAUCUAAGCGCGAAGCCAACUUCAAGAUAAGAUUUCCCACCGCAAGGGUAAGACCCCAGAAAGACUAUCUGGUUGAUAGGUCGAAGGUGUAAGUGCAGCAAUGUAUUUAGCGUAUCGAUACUAAUAGGUCGAGGACUUGACCAAUAUUUAUU
rnacentral:rRNA from 1 species